rnacentral:tRNA from 1 species
GGGAGUGUAUAGUGGUUCUGGUGUCCCUCCCGGACUUCAAAUCCGGUGUUGCCUGCCACAAGCAGGCAGGGUGGGUUCGAUUCCCACACGCUCCCGCCA